rnacentral:rRNA from 1 species
AAUAGUACGUGAAACCGCUUAGAGGUAAACGGGUGGAGUCGCAAAGUGGUCCGGAUAGAUUCAACCGUUCGAACGAGGUCUGCGACGGAGUGUUCCAUCAGAUGCUAAUCAUACGCACUGGCUUCGUCGUCUUCCAUUGGACCUUCGCCGAUCGGCGCACUUCUUUCCGGACAGCGUCACGACCGAUUCGGUUUUCACGCCGGUCAAAAGCUACGCGGGAAGGUGACUCCGACUUCGGUGGGAGUGUUAUAGUCCGCGCUAGCGUCGGCCGGUGCCGGAUCGAGGAAUGGCCGUACCCGCUUUCACGAGCACGGGUCCUCGCUCGACGUCCGUCGUUCCGCAUAUCGACUGGGCUGGACUGUUUACAGUGCUGUCCGACCGCGAUGGGCGUACGAGUUCGAGUGCACAUCAACUCCCGAGUGGUACACAAGGUCAGUGGCGAGUGGUCGGCAAUCCACCCGACCU